rnacentral:RNase_P_RNA from 1 species
CAAGCAGGCAGAAGUGGUUGCCCCAUUGUUUGAUAACAAAGGGGAGGAAAGUCCGAGCUCCACAGGAUGAUGCACCCAGGUAAUUUUGGGCCUCACGGUCAGUGAGAGGAUUAGAGCUACAGUGACGAUACUUCGAUUCGGUCCGACGACGUCGGACCUCACUCAGUAUUGGUCGUACGCAGGGUUUACCCUGAGCGACCGAGCUCGAGCGAGAGAGUCGAAGGGUGAAACGAGCAAUCUCUGCAUGGAGCAAGGCCAAAUAGGCAGAAAGUUAUGUCGUACGACGUACGAUAAUAUGCGAAUUGAUCCGGUUCGCCGCAUUUGCGGGUAGGCUGCAAGAGUUUGAGAAGUAAUUCUCAAAGUAAGUUGAAUAACCACUCUGCGUGCUCCUUUGGAGCGCGUGGCACAGAACUCGGCUUACGUCUGCUUUGACA